GUGUGUCUGAUUAAAUGUAAAAUUUUGUUAAAACUUUAAUAAAACUGUAAUAAAACGUUAAUAAAAUCAGGGUAAGAUAUUAAAUGUUGAGGUGCUGCAUCAGAGCCUGACGUAUUUCACUGCACUCGUCUUCGCUAUCCUGUAUAAUUACCCGCCCUGGCUCUUCUGCAGACGUAUUCCAAUCCUGGUGGAAGUCUUCUCCAUGUCUUUCACAAAGAUUGUGAAGAGCACAGCAAGUAAGC